GUACAGUCACACGCACGACUGCGAGUGCAUGCACUGUACAGUCACACGCACGACUGCGAGUGCAUGCACUGUACAGUCACACGCACGACUGCGAGUGCAUGCACUGUACAGUCACACACACACACACACACACACACAUACACACACACACAGACUUACUCAAGAGAACGAUGGCCUCAAGCAAGCCUACGCUGAGCUUGAGGAUAAGUAUGCUCCUUAUCAAGAGACUAUCGACAAACAAGAGGCACAGAAUAAACUACUCACCAGCCAAACAGCCGCAGCACAACAAGAGGCCCAGAGACUGAGCGAGCAAUACGCCAAGCUAUUGGGACAUCAGAAUACUCGACAGAAGAUCAUGCACGUCAAGAAUCUCAAGGAUGAGAACGCAGCUCUAAAAGAGGAAGUCAUCAAGCUCAAGAAUGAGCUCACUCGUGUCAAGCGAACCAUGCUCCAGCGUGAGAGUGCUGGCAUCAAGGGAAAACCACUCCUCCCCCGAAACUAACCCCGUGCAUAUCAUAUAGCUACUAUAGAUACAUUGUUGUUCAUUAAUGAUUAAUGAUAUUAUAAUUAUAUCAGA